rnacentral:rRNA from 1 species
AUUGAACGCUGGCGGCAUGCCUUACACAUGCAAGUCGAACGGUAACGGGCCUUCGGGUGCCGACGAGUGGCGAACGGGUGAGUAAUACAUCGGAACGUGCCCGAUCGUGGGGGAUAACGAGGCGAAAGCUUUGCUAAUACCGCAUACGAUCUACGGAUGAAAGCAGGGGACCGCAAGGCCUUGCGCGGACGGAGCGGCCGAUGGCAGAUUAGGUAGUUGGUGGGAUAAAAGCUUACCAAGCCGACGAUCUGUAGCUGGUCUGAGAGGAUGAUCAGCCACACUGGGACUGAGACACGGCCCAGACCCCUACGGGAGGCAGCAGUGGGGAAUUUUGGACAAUGGGCGCAAGCCUGAUCCAGCCAUGCCGCGUGCAGGAUGAAGGCCUUCGGGUUGUAAACUGCUUUUGUACGGAACGAAAAGCCUUCUUUUAAUACAGGAGGGUCAUGACGGUACCGUAAGAAUAAGCACCGGCUAACUACGUG